UACGGGGGGGGCAAGCGUUGUUCGGAAUUACUGGGCGUAAAGGGCGCGUAGGCGGCCUUCUAAGUCAGACGUGAAAUCCCCAGGCUUAACUUGGGAACUGCGUCUGAUACUGGGAGGCUUGAGUGCGGGAGAGGGAUGUGGAAUUCCAGGUGUAGCGGUGAAAUGCGCAGAUAUCUGGAGGAACACCGGUGGCGAAGGCGGCAUCCUGGACCGACACUGACGCUGAGGCGCGAAAGCUAGGGGAGCAAACGGG
rnacentral:rRNA from 1 species